rnacentral:rRNA from 1 species
GAGUUUGAUCUUGGCUCAGGGUGAACGCUGGCGGCGUGCUUAAGACAUGCAAGUCGAACGGUCCCUUCGGGGAUAGUGGCGCACGGGUGAGUAACGCGUAACUGACCUACCCCAAAGUCGCGGAUAACGAUUCGAAAGAAUCGCUGAUACGUGAUGUGCUGUCAGAUUGUGUUCUGCCAGUAAAGAUUUAUUGCUUUGGGAUGGGGUUGCGUUCCAUCAGCUAGUUGGUGGGGUAAAGGCCUACCAAGGCGACGACGGAUAGCCGGCCUGAGAGGGUGGCCGGCCACAGGGGCACUGAGACACGGGUCCCACUCCUACGGGAGGCAGCAGUUAGGAAUCUUCCACAAUGGGCGAAAGCCUGAUGGAGCGACGCCGCGUGAGGGACGAAGGUCUUCGGAUUGUAAACCUCUGAAUCAGGGACGAAAGACGCGUAAGCGGGAUGACGGUACCUGAGUAAUAGCACCGGCUAACUCCGUGCCAGCCGCCGCAGU